GCCUUGGUGGUGUACUGGUUAGCAUACUCGGUGCAUAUUCUAGAGAUCCAGGUUCGAAUCCUGGUGAGGGCA
rnacentral:tRNA from 1 species